rnacentral:lncRNA from 1 species
CCUUUACAAACUGGUUCCACGGUCUCUGCAGAUAUCUCCACACCACGCUGUGCUCAACCCGACUCCUGGGCUCACUUGGUCAUGGUGACAGCAUGUGCCUUGGAUAGGUACAGACCCCACCCCAGGGCACAGCUCCUCAGUGCUAGAGAAGAAUAAAAUUUCUUGGUUGCCAAGUGCACAUGGAGUGUUGGAAGAUCCAUGGGAUGCGAAGUGAGACACCAGAAAUGAGUGUGCAGAGGAAAGACCAUGUGAGGACACAGCAAGGAGGCAGCAACCUGCAAGCCAAGGAGAGAGGCCUCAGGGGAAACCAAACCUAUAAACACCUUUAUCUUGGCUCUCCAGCUUCAGAACUAUUCAUCUCUGAAACCAUGACAGGUGAAUGGAGCAGCUAUUUGAGCACCAGGAAAGGAAAUGGUACACAGCAGUUUGGGAUGGCCCCAGCAGAUGAAAUAUAACAGAGUCAGUGUGAGACUCCUGGAUUUCCUCACUGUCCUCUGGCUGGGACUCCAGACAGCCCCAAACCUGAAGGGGCACAAAUCUGAAAACAAAAAGAAGUCCAGAAAGCCCUCUUGUUCAGGAUUGAAGAUAGGAAAAGAAACUUCUUUGGCUCAAAGUGAAGGCUCAGUCCCCUGCACAAGCAGGUGGUUCACACCUGUGUUCUCAUCUCUCAUACCAGCGCCUCUCCCUGGGUUCACACUGAUGUCCUAUGGAUGGAGACGGGGUUUCCUGCACCAGGUCACUCCACAGCCCCUGUAACCUGAAGCCCUGCAGACCAGCCUUGUUCAAUCACAAUAUGAUGUGAGCCUCAUGGGAAUCCCACUGUCUAGUCAUCGCAUUAUAAAUACAAAGAGAAGAAGUCAA